rnacentral:rRNA from 1 species
CCUACGGGAGGCUGCAGUGAGGAAUAUUGGUCAAUGGUCGCGAGCCUGAACCAGCCAAGUAGCGUGAGGGAUGACUGCCCUACGGGUUGUAAACUUCUUUUAUAAAGGAAUAAAGUCAGGCACGUGUGCCUGUUUGUAUGUACUUUAUGAAAAAGGAUCGGCUAACUCCGUGCCAGCAGCCGCGGUAAUACGGAGGAUCCGAGCGUUAUCCGGAUUUAUUGGGUUUAAAGGGAGCGUAGAUGGGUUGUUAAGUCAGUUGUGAAAGUUUGCGGCUCAACCGUAAAAUUGCAAUUGAGACUGGCAGUCUUGAGUACAGGUGAGGUAGGCGGAAUUCGUGGUGUAGCGGUGAAAUGCUUAGAUAUCACGAAGAACUCCGAUUGCGAAGGCAGCUUACUAUACCGUCACUGACACUGAUGCUCGAAAGUGCGGGUAUCAAACAGGAUUAGAUACCCGAGUAGUC